UACGUAGGGGCUAGCGUUAUCCGGAUUUACUGGGCGUAAAGGGUGCGUAGGCGGUCUUUCAAGUCAGGAGUGAAAGGCUACGGCUCAACCGUAGUAAGCUCUUGAAACUGUAAGACUUGAGUGCAGGAGAGGAGAGUGGAAUUCCUAGUGUAGCGGUGAAAUGCGUAGAUAUUGGGAGGAACACCGGUGGCGUAGGCGGCUUGCUGGACAGUAACUGACGCUGAGGCGCGAAAGCCAGGGGAGCAAACGGGAUUAGAUACCCGCGUAGUCCCUGA
rnacentral:rRNA from 1 species